GGCUAAGAUCAAGUGUAGUAUCUGUUCUUA
rnacentral:piRNA from 4 species